rnacentral:lncRNA from 1 species
GAAAAAAAAAGGUAUUUAUUGCCAACACUCAAAAGCAGUGAGCUAAUCCAGGUUUAGCAGAGAAUUCUCUUUUUCCCUCCCACCUUAAUAAUCAUCCUGGUGUGCCCUGCCCUCUCUCUCUUUUUUCCUAGGUCUCUCUCAUCUCUUUCCUCCCUAAAAUACUAGUUAUCCUUCAGGCCUUAUGAUUUCAAAAUAUUUGUGAAGAAUCGUGUGUAUGCGCACACACACGCGUGCGUAGUUUUUUCCUUCCUUAGAAUGAAUCCUCGCCGCCAGCUUUUGUGCCUUACCUUGUUUGUACAGAAAAAUCAACACGGGAGAAGCCCGCCUUCUGGGAACGACUUUCUACCCCCGCCAGGUCUGACUGACUUUCACAGUUGCUUCCUGGUUUGCUGCUUUUGUGCAAGAGACAUUUCCUUUUGGACAAAGCCGCCCAAGCAUAGCUUGCCAAGCUGUGCCAUGUCUGCACCUGGGAUCCGAACCGGCAAACCUUGGGCGAACGAGAAGCAGAACGUGCGAACUUAACUGCUAUGCCCCCAGGCAGGCCCCAGGAAUCAGUCUCCUUGAGCUGCUGGCCUGCUGACUCUUUUAAUGAAAUUCAUAUCUGGUCUUACGAGCUGUCAUUAGAUGAAAAUUAUUACUGAGCCUGCAAGCAACUCUCAGAUGAUUUUGAAAACCUCCAGAAUUAAUUAUGUUUAGAGACACUGCAAGCCACAUUGGGCCAAUCUGUUUCUUCUCAUUUCAAUUAAAUUGAAUUUAC